rnacentral:rRNA from 1 species
UACGAACCGUGCGAACGUUGUUCGGAUUCACUGGGCUUAAAGGGCGCGUAGGCGGACGGUCAAGUCAGGGGUGAAAUCUUUCAGCUCAACUGGAAAAGUGCCUCUGAUACUGAUCGUCUCGAGGGAGGUAGGGGCAUGUGGAACUUCCGGUGGAGCGGUGAAAUGCGUAGAUAUCGGAAGGAACGCCGGUGGCGAAAGCGACGUGCUGGACCUCUUCUGACGCUGAGGCGCGAAAGCCAGGGGAGCGAACGGG